CGUGAUGAGAGCUUUUUCAGGAGGCGGGAGUCCACGAGACCCGCUCCGAGACCACCAAUUAGGGUCUCAAAAAGUUUGAAAGAACGAGAAACCCGAGGAGCCUUUCUGACCGAAGGCUGGAGAAGCAGAGUGGGACCUUCAGACACUUUGUCGGGUUAUCUGCCAAGGACUACCAUCUAGAGAAACCUCGGCUGCCAGGAGAGGGAACCCGGACAUUCUUCGCUGCCAGCUCAAGCAAGUGGCAUGGUGUUUGAAAACUCUUGAAGCCCUCUGAGGCUGCUGGAGGGAAUAGGAAGCCAUCUGGGCAGAUGUGGCAGAAACCGAAAUAAGGUGUCCGCGCAGUACUGGAUUCCCACCUCCUCCUUUAGCUUGGUGGAAAGGUGCGCAGCAAAUCUGAGGAUUUUGACAGACUUUGCCUUCAGCGCCCUCUUGUUAACUUCACAACCAAUAUCCAUUGCCUUCUUCCCAGAGGGGGGAAAGCACUGCCCAGGAACAGGGUCCCAUUUCAGAGGGCUUCCAGGGCCACUGUCAUUGCCCUGUUUGUCUCCUCCUCACCCCCACCCCCUCCCACCACUCUGCACGAGCUCUGCAAUUCAGAUCAACCAACUCACACACACACCCGCAGAGCAACCCCCAGAAACCUGGCUCCGGGAUGGGGGAUGGCUACCCUCCCACUGUGCUUGCCAGGAAAGGGAGUCCAUCUCCUUUGCUGAUGCAAAGGCAUGGCCCUUGCU
ensembl:antisense Gm14662 uncharacterized LOC115030083